AAUCUGCCACCGCUGCCACCGAGCCGAGGGGCGCCAGCAAGGCAUCCCCUGGGUCAAGGGGCCUCCCGUGGGCUUUCCAAACAGCCUGUGCUCAUUUCCGCGGGAGCCCUCGGGGCGCUGUGCUGUGGCUGCAUUGUCACUGUUUGUUUAUUUCUACAUCUGCUCUGUUAGAAGAUAGGCUCGCUUAGGACAGAGCCUUCUAAUCCACCCCCUGAUGAAUUCGGGCCCUCGCCUUUGGCACAAUGCCUGGCGUCAUCACAACGCGGGUGAUCAGUAAACGGCAGCGAAGGAAGCGGGGUCAGGACUGGAGAGGAGAGGGGGAGGAAGACAGACGACCGGAGAGGAACAAAAAUGGAAGAACAAGUAAGAAUGGACAGAGGAAUACCAUGUGCUGACUGACGAACGCCUGGGUUUCUGAACCAAUUGCCAUCAAGGGGAUUGGGAUUACCAUAAUUUUUGCUGAGACUAAGCCCCACCCCAGUAACCAAAGGCAGUGUUUCAAGAACCCAGCUCCAUUCAUCCUAUGAUGCCACCAUCCUCAGCAUUUGACUUCCAUGGCUCCUAUAUGCUGCCAAGAGAAUUUUUUUCUUUAAGAACAAAUAAACUAAAGAAAUUAACAUCCAGCUUGCUGAGUCACUUGCUUUCCACUUGAAUUUUAACUACAAGGAUCUGAAGACAGCCUGUGUUAGGCAGAGAAAGAAAGAGACAGAGAAAGAGUCAGGGAGAAGAGAGGAAGAGAGAUGUAGCUGGAGAGUCAGGGAGAAAUUCAAAGAGAUGGAGAGAGAGACUGGUUCUGGAAAGAAAAGAUAAGUUAAAUAGAAAAAGGAAAGUAAUCUUUGAAAGGUUUGUUUAAGACAUGUAUUUUCUUACUCUGUAGUGGGAGCGCUGAAUAAAAAUAUUUAAAUAAAAGCUGUAAUGUGAUUAA
rnacentral:lncRNA from 1 species